rnacentral:rRNA from 1 species
AUUCCUCAAGCUUGGCGGGCAGGCUUAACACAUGCAGUCGAGCGCCCCGCGAGGGGAGCGGCAGACGGGUGAGUAACGCGUGGGAAUCUACCCUUUUCUACGGAAUAACGCAGGGAAACUUGUGCUAAUACCGUAUGAGCCCUUCGGGGGAAAGAUUUAUCGGGAAAGGAUGAGCCCGCGUUGGAUUAGCUAGUUGGUUGGGUAAAGGCCUACCAAGGCGACGAUCCAUAGCUGGUCUGAGAGGAUGAUCAGCCACAUUGGGACUGAGACACGGCCCAAACUCCUACGGGAGGCAGCAGUGGGGAAUAUUGGACAAUGGGCGCAAGCCUGAUCCAGCCAUGCCGCGUGAGUGAUGAAGGCCCUAGGGUUGUAAAGCUCUUUCACCGGUGAAGAUAAUGACGGUAACCGGAGAAGAAGCCCCGGCUAACUUCGUGCCAGCAGCCGCGGUAAUACGAAGGGGGCUAGCGUUGUUCGGAAUUACUGGGCGUAAAGCGCACGUAGGCGGAUUGUUAAGUGAGGGGUGAAAUCCCAGGGCUCAACCCUGGAACUGCCUUUCAUACUGGCAAUCUAGAGUCCAGAAGAGGUGAGUGGAAUUCCGAGUGUAGAGGUGAAAUUCGUAGAUAUUCGGAGGAACACCAGUGGCGAAGGCGGCUCACUGGUCUGGCAACUGACGCUGAGGUGCGAAAGCGUGGGGAGCAAACAGGAUUAGAUACCCUGUAGUCCACGCCGUAAACGAUGAAUGUUAGCCGUCGGGCAGUUUACUGUUCGGUGGCGCAGCUAACGCAUUAAACAUUCCGCCUGGGG